CCUACGGGAGGCAGCAGUGAGGAAUAUUGGUCAAUGGCCGGAAGGCUGAACCAGCCAAGCCGCGUGAAGGACGAAGGUGCCAAGCAUUGUAAACUUCUUUUGUCAAGGGACAAAAUCAGGCUCGAGAGCCUGACCGAGGGUACUUGAAGAAAAAGCAUCGGCUAACUCCGUGCCAGCAGCCGCGGUAAUACGGAGGAUGCGAGCGUUAUCCGGAUUUAUUGGGGUUAAAGGGUGCGUAGGCGGGAUGUUAAGUCAGCGGUAAAAGCCCGGGGCUCAACCCCGGCGAGCCGUUGAAACUGGCGGUCUUGAGAUGUCGAGAGGUAUGCGGAAUGCGCAGUGUAGCGGUGAAAUGCUUAGAUAGUGCGCAGAACUCCGAUGGCGAAGGCAGCAUACCGGCGGCGAUCUGACGCUGAGGCACGAAAGCGUGGGUAUCGAACAGGAGUAGAUACCCCAGUAGUC
rnacentral:rRNA from 1 species